CAAUCCUUCCCCGGGAGUCUUGGCCUCUUCAAUAAUCCGAUUGAUCUCAUCAACGCUUUGAGAAAGGUGGCAUUUUUAAGAAGAAACGGUACCUUAGAUGGGUUAGCAAC